rnacentral:rRNA from 1 species
UUACGGGAGGCAGCAGUGAGGAAUAUUGGUCAAUGGGCGUAAGCCUGAACCAGCCAUCCCGCGUGAAGGAAGAAGGCGCUAUGCGUCGUAAACUUCUUUUCCGGAGGAAUAAAAUUUUGUACGAGUACAGAACUGAAGGUACUCCGGGAAUAAGCAUCGGCUAACUCCGUGCCAGCAGCCGCGGUAAUACGGAGGAUGCAAGCGUUAUCCGGAUUUAUUGGGUUUAAAGGGUGCGUAGGCGGAUUAAUAAGUCAGUGGUGAAAACCUUCAGCUUAACUGGAGAACUGCCAUUGAUACUGUUAGUCUUGAGUACGGUCAAGGUAGGCGGAAUGUGUAAUGUAGCGGUGAAAUGCUUAGAUAUUACACAGAACACCGAUUGCGAAGGCAGCUUACUGGGCCAUUACUGACGCUGAUGCACGAAAGCGUGGGGAGCGAACAGGAUUAGAUACCCUGGUAGG